UGUAUUGUAUUCAAGUUCUUG
rnacentral:piRNA from 1 species